CUAUAGGGCGACAUAUGAUCGAUGAUAUCCCAUGGGCGGCCGCCUGCAGACCAGGUCUAGAGUUUGAGUUUGAUCCUGGCUCAGAUUGAACGCUGGCGGCAGGCCUAACACAUGCAAGUCGAGCGGAUGAAGGGAGCUUGCUCCCGGAUUCAGCGGCGGACGGGUGAGUAAUGCCUAGGAAUCUGCCUGGUAGUGGGGGAUAACGUCCGGAAACGGGCGCUAAUACCGCAUACGUCCUGAGGGAGAAAGUGGGGGAUCUUCGGACCUCACGCUAUCAGAUGAGCCUAGGUCGGAUUAGCUAGUUGGUGGGGUAAAGGCCUACCAAGGCGACGAUCCGUAACUGGUCUGAGAGGAUGAUCAGUCACACUGGAACUGAGACACGGUCCAGACUCCUACGGGAGGCAGCAGUGGGGAAUAUUGGACAAUGGGCGAAAGCCUGAUCCAGCCAUGCCGCGUGUGUGAAGAAGGUCUUCGGAUUGUAAAGCACUUUAAGUUGGGAGGAAGGGCAGUAAGUUAAUACCUUGCUGUUUUGACGUUACCAACAGAAUAAGCACCGGCUAACUUCGUGCCAGCAGCCGCGGUAAUACGAAGGGUGCAAGCGUUAAUCGGAAUUACUGGGCGUAAAGCGCGCGUAGGUGGUUCAGCAAGUUGGAUGUGAAAUCCCCGGGCUCAACCUGGGAACUGCAUCCAAAACUACUGAGCUAGAGUACGGUAGAGGGUGGUGGAAUUUCCUGUGUAGCGGUGAAAUGCGUAGAUAUAGGAAGGAACACCAGUGGCGAAGGCGACCACCUGGACUGAUACUGACACUGAGGUGCGAAAGCGUGGGGGGCAAACAGGAUUAGAUACCCUGGUAGUCCACGCCGUAAACGAUGUCGACUAGCCGUUGGGAUCCUUGAGAUCUUAGUGGCGCAGCUAACGCGAUAAGUCGACCGCCUGGGGAGUACGGCCGCAAGGUUAAAACUCAAAUGAAUUGACGGGGGCCCGCACAAGCGGUGGAGCAUGUGGUUUAAUUCGAAGCAACGCGAAGAACCUUACCUGGCCUUGACAUGCUGAGAACUUUCCAGAGAUGGAUUGGUGCCUUCGGGAACUCAGACACAGGUGCUGCAUGGCUGUCGUCAGCUCGUGUCGUGAGAUGUUGGGUUAAGUCCCGUAACGAGCGCAACCCUUGUCCUUAGUUACCAGCACCUCGGGUGGGCACUCUAAGGAGACUGCCGGUGACAAACCGGAGGAAGGUGGGGAUGACGUCAAGUCAUCAUGGCCCUUACGGCCAGGGCUACACACGUGCUACAAUGGUCGGUACAAAGGGUUGCCAAGCCGCGAGGUGGAGCUAAUCCCAUAAAACCGAUCGUAGUCCGGAUCGCAGUCUGCAACUCGACUGCGUGAAGUCGGAAUCGCUAGUAAUCGUGAAUCAGAAUGUCACGGUGAAUACGUUCCCGGGCCUUGUACACACCGCCCGUCACACCAUGGGAGUGGGUUGCUCCAGAAGUAGCUAGUCUAACCGCAAGGGGGACGGUUACCACGGAGUGAUUCAUGACUGGGGUGAAGUCGUAACAAGGUAACCAAGACUGGAGAUCUGG
rnacentral:rRNA from 1 species